rnacentral:rRNA from 1 species
AAGCGUGCGCAGGCGGUUGUGUAAGUCAGAUGUGAAAUCCCCGGGCUCAACCUGGGAAUUGCAUUUGAGACUGCACGGCUAGAGUGUGUCAGAGGGGGGUAGAAUUCCACGUGUAGCAGUGAAAUGCGUAGAUAUGUGGAGGAAUACCGAUGGCGAAGGCACGCCCCCUGGGAUAACACUGACGCUCAUGCACGAAAGCGUGGGGAGCAAACAGGAUUAGAUACCCCAGU